GCCAGAGAGAGCCUGGAGGCCCAAGGCUGGGGUUCACGUCUGAAGAAGGGGAUUAGACACACAGGUGUGGGAUUUGGGGCGAUGGCAUGUGGGCGUGACUUUCUGAACAGGUUUGGAGCUCCCGGAAGGUCACUCACGGACAGAGGGUGCUCCUCGUGGACGACGGUUGACGCGGCGAUGGACGGAGGGGGGAGAAGAGGUUGUAGGAGCAGUGUGCUGGUUGCCGGGACUGGAAGUCAAGCGGAAACCCUGAAGGGCCAAGCAGGAGAAAAGGCCAAAGCGCCUUCGUCGGGAUUGCUGCUGGCCCCUGAGGGCAGGGCUUCGCUAACUGGGUUGUCUGCAGGUGACCCUAGCCUACCUGGAACUCACAGAGCUUGGCCUGCCUCUGCCUCCCGGAGUGCUGGGAUCAUAGGCUGCACCUCAGCCCAGCUUUGCUGAUUUAUUCUCGUUACUUAUGAGUGCUUCCCUGAAGAUAAAUCUGUGCACCACAUAUAUGCUGGCUCCCAUGGACCCUGGACCUGGAGCUGCACAUGGUUGUGAGCCUCAGACUCAGUAAACCUCAUAUCUGUGGUGGAUGUAAACAUGUUUUUGUUUUGGUCCCAGGUGUGGGAUGUGGGGCUGAUUCAGAUGGUCCACAGCAGCAGACUGUCUGCCUCCUGCCGGCUCUGAGAGGAGCUCUUUGCCAGCUGCAGAGAGUUUAAAUCUGAGGGUUCUGGAGAGAGAAUAAAUGCCAGAGCCCAGAGAGUGUGGAGCACCGAGAAAGAACACGGCUGCUUUCUGCUUUACUGCUGCAUCUCCUGGCUGCUGUUGUGAGACAAGAUGUUGGCGAUCUCCUGAAACACAGACUGGACUGGCUCAAGGAACCCAACGACCCUAACCAGCAGGAAGCAGCUAAGAGAACUAUGCCCCCUCUCCCACUCACCCUUUCUCUCUCCUACCUGAUGUUGGUUGGGGUGUUGGAAGGGAUGGGGGUGAAGAAAGAGAUGUAAGAAAUGUAAAUAAAAGUUUUUAAAAGUA